UCGCCAUUGGAUGGGCCCGCGUCGGAUUAGCUAGUUGGUGGGGUAAUGGCCUACCAAGGCGACGAUCCGUAGCUGGUCUGAGAGGAUGAUCAGCCACACUGGGACUGAGACACGGCCCAG
rnacentral:rRNA from 1 species